AUUCCAAUAAUUCCCCAGGUUCAGGUGCAUCAUAUUUUAUAAGCUGGAAUGUUCCUACAUUUACUCGGGUACACCUACUUUGUUUUGAGGUAGCCUACUUGUUGUACUUGACUUGGGUAUUCCCCCCGUUGCCUAAAGACACACCCACCUGAGCCCCCCUCCCGGACUAUCGAGGCAAAUAUGGUCGGGUGCACCAGAGCAGAAAGACCCCCCUCCUCUAAUCCACUCCUUACGCAAAUAAACCUUCAUACGUUAUGUGACUGCUUGAAUAGAGGUUGAACAUUAGGAAUCUAAAAAGAGAAAGUCCUGAAAAGGGAAGCUGCUUGUUGUGGAUAUUAUCGACCACCAUGGCUUCCACACCCUCCACCUCUGCCCUGUCUGCUGUUCUCCGGUGUCGGGGAAAUAUCUGGACCAGGAAUCCGCCGACGAAGCGGCCUGCCACCUCGGCGUACAGCCUGGGUCUGACCGGCGGCUCGCCAGCUGAGCGCACCCGGUCAAACCAGGCGUCAGCGUGGGAGCCUUCUCUCCAAGGAGACCGUGUACUGGUGGGAAGAGUAUAUAAAUCACCCCGGGUGGUUGGCAAAAUGUUGAGAGAAAAAGAUUCCAAUGAAAUGAAUACAUUGUCUCACCCAAAACUUUCGCAAUCCGCAGGGGACGCGCACUCAUCUGGUGUCCAAAACGCGCUGGUGCGUCAGCAGGCAAGCAGACUGACUUUUAACUUGCCUGGAUUAGACACGUGCUCUCAAAUAAUUCGAAAGAUUAAUUGCAAAACAUAUUAUGCUACACACAUCUGUAAAAUACUAUUUGUUCAGGAAAUGAGUGUAUUCCCAGUUUUGAACGUGCUCAUAACGUCUCCGUGUGUGAUGGAGAAUGCAAGACAAAUACCGUCUUUCGUGUUAACUGGCUGGUCAACCCUGAAGAGUAGCUGUGUGUCUUUGACUGCUCUGGUGUCAGAAUUCAUGUUUUUAAAGCUGGCGGUGUUGUGGAGGUCCAGCAGCAGCCCUGAUGAUGCGCUAAAGCGGCACAACAUAAAAGCAAUGCCCUGCAGGCCAAUGGACAAAUCCACAGUCCCCCUGGCAUCACCUCCUCCAAGGACAACUCCGGCUCUGGACAAAUGAUCCCAGAGGACAGACCUGACUGAGAGUCCAAGGCCUCAGCACCAAAAACACACACUGUGAUCUAACCUUAUUUAUUGACUUUUACUUGGCUUUCAAAAUGCACAAAGCACAUUUGGACUUUAACCCAGUGAUACAACAACUGGUUGUUUUUAGAGCAGUUUGUUUUUUUGCUUUAAGGAAAAGUAAGACAUUCUGUGACAAGAAAUACCUGAGAAACAUCAGUCACAUGCAUUGUUUAGUACAUUAGGCCUCCUAGUGGAGAGGUAAAAUAAUGGCAGUGCAUUUUAUUUUUGAGGUUACCCUGUAGCUAAACAAAAACUUAUUUUGCAAACUGGAGUAAAACUAAAAGUAGGCCUAUUACAUCUCAGAAAAUGGAAAUAUUCCAAGUUUAAGUACAAACUAAAUGUGGAGGAAUAAUUGAAAGAUUUGUACUUAUUCUUUCCUCUUGUGUUUUGAAGAUGUUUGCUUGAUUUUUCACUCUGAAAUAUAUUUUGGAUAAAAAAUAUAGAUCCCUACAAAUGUCAAAGAUCACUUGCAUAAAUGUAGCCAUCUUUUAUACUUUCCAGAUGUUUUAACAGUGUCCUGUAAAGUAUGAAAGUCCUGUCAGAAGAAGUAUAUCAGAUCUUUUACUUUAGUAAAAAUAGCAUAUAUAGCAAUGCCUUUUAUUUCCACACAGCGUUAUUACUACUCUUACUUAAAAGAUCUGAGUGCUUCUUCCAUCACUACAUGUGAUGCUAUACCAUGGCCAGUCGUUAGCUUAGCUUAGCAUAAAGACUGGAAACAAGGGCAAACAACUAUAGCUCAUCUGGCUCUGUCCGAAGAUAAGAUCCACCUACCAGCACCUCUAAAGCUCAUUAAUUAACACGCUUUAUUUCAUUUCUUUACGUAAUAGGUUAUGUGGGCUACAAAAACUGAUGGCAAAAAUUACAAUUCCCCAUUUAAGGCCCAACUAGUUGGGACAAGUAACUCUGCUGGUUGCCUGGCAAGUGGCACUAGCCAAGAAAUAGUUUGGCACGUAAACCCCCAUAAAAUGUCUUUACACUUCUUCUUCUUUCAACAAAUGAGGUAUAAUAUGUUAAUCAGUGAGUUUACGGUGCUGGUUGGCAUGAUUUGUCACAUUUGGACAGAGCAAAUAGUUUUCCCCCCAAAAUAGUACUUUUCCUUUAUAGGCCACUUGGUUACAGUCCCCCACUGCUGCUGAAAUGACCUGGUGAAAGAAGUAGAUUGAGUCAGAAAUUUUACUCAAAUCGAAGUAGCAAUACCACAGUUUAAAAAUACUCUUUUACAAGUAAAAGUCAUACAUUCCAAAUCUUACUUAAGCAAAAGUACAAACGUAUUGACACCAAUCAAUUACUGGAUUAUAAUUAGUAAUGCAUUCUGUGUCCAUCACUUUAUUUGUGGGGCUAAUUACUUUUAUACAUGUUGGGUGGCUUAAUAAUAAUAAUAAUAAAUAAUAUAUCAUAAUUCAUUAGCCUAGUUAAUUCUGUAUUAAUUAUCUGAAUCUGCAAAGUAGUAACUGAUAAAUAGGCCUAAGUGUAAUGGAGUAUAAAGUACAAUAUUUCCCUGAAAUGUAGUAAAGUAGAAGUAUAAAGUAUCAUAAAAUGGAUAUACUCAAAUUAAGUAGGCUACAAGCAGUACCUGAAAAUUGUACAUAAGUAGGCCUGCAGUACAUGAGUAAAUGUAGGCCUAUAUUAGUUAAGUUACUUUACACCGUUGGAAACACCCUACAGAUAAAAAGAAGUAGGAAGGAAAAACGCUGUUAUAUGCUGUUUGGGAGAUUGUCAUCAGUGUAGAUAAUGAAAACCACAUUUCUCCACUAAACCAAACACUUUGCCAAUGACUUCUCUGCAGCUCAAGAAAAAAAUGUAUGUUGUUACAUAAGAUAGGAUCUCUUCAUUACCAUAUUUCGACGCCACAGUGUGUGAAAGCAGACAAUAAAUGUUUACAAAGACAUCAAAGGCUGCUGUUUCUUAAUUAGCUCCACUGAGAGCCGCUCG
ensembl:lncRNA